AUGGCGCUGCUAUCGCCACCCUCCGCUCCGCCCCUGCUCACACCAGCUCGCCACCGCCUCGCCUCUCCCCAUCUCCUCGCCAUCCCGGCGUCACCGAGCUCUCUCCUCUCCCUCCCCCACCACCACCACAGCCUCCUCCUCCCCUGCGCUGCCAACGCCUGGCCGUCCCGUCGGCACCGUCGCCGCGGCAUAGCCGCGUCGCUCGGGCAGGAGGAGCCUGGAGUCUCCGACGCCCCCAUCACCUCCGAAGGAGAGUUCGGAGAGGGUGACUCUGAGCUGCCGAUUAACUUCGAUGCAGAGGCAGGCGCGGUCGCGGUUUCCGCCGAGCCGCCGGCGGACGCCAGCCCCGAGGACCUGGAGAACAUACGCGAGAUCAAAAGGGUGCUGGAACUUCUUCAGAAGAACAGAGAUAUGACCUUCGGUGAGGUUAAGUUAACUAUCAUGAUUGAGGACCCGAGAGAUGUAGAAAGGAAGAGACUGCUAGGCAUAGAGGAUCCUGACGAACUUACCAGGGAUGAUUUAGCUGAUGCUUUGGUUGAGGUUAAUGAAGGACGAAUUCCAGAGAAUCGUGAUACUCUUAGGUUGCUUGCCAAGGAGAUGGCAGAAUGGCCUGACGUUGAUGUAAAGAUAGAAAGUCAAAAGGGCAAGGGUUUCUUUGGCAGAUCUGUCUAUGCAAAGGCCACAGAUACGGGCAUUGAUCCUGUGGCAGCUGCUAAAAGACUCAACAUUGACUGGGAUUCUGCCGCUGAUAUAGAUGAAGGAGAGGAUGAGGAUGAUGAAGAUGAAGUUCCAUCAGCAGUGGGAUACGGUGCUCUGUAUCUGUUGACAGCCUUUCCUGUCAUUAUUGGAAUAUCGGUUGUGCUGAUCCUUUUCUACAACUCUCUACAGUAG
rnacentral:rRNA from 1 species